CCUACGGGGCGCAGCAGUGGGGAAUAUUGCACAAUGGGGGAAACCCUGAUGCAGCGACGCCGCGUGAGUGAAGAAGUAUUCCGGUAUGUAAAGCUCUAUCAGCAGGGAAGAUAAUGACGGUACCUGAGUAAGAAGCCCCGGCUAACUACGUGCCAGCAGCCGCGGUAAUACGUAGGGGGCAAGCGUUAUCCGGAUUUACUGGGUGUAAAGGGUGCGUAGGUGGCAGGGCAAGUCAGAUGUGAAAGCCCGGGGCCCAACCCCGGUACUGCAUUUGAAACUGUCCGGCUGGAGUGCAGGAGAGGUAA
rnacentral:rRNA from 1 species